AGUGGGAAAUGGGCCAAGUCAAAGGCCAUUAUGGCAAAAUAUGACCUGGAGGCCCGCCAAGCUAUGCAAGAACAUCUCUAGACCUUCAGUAGAAGGGGAGCAGAUGAGGACGAACCCACAAAAUCAGACCAAGGGGAAAAACAAGAAGGAGCAGAUGAUUAGUCUACAGAACCUCCUGACUACAAGAACUCCUUCUGUGACAUCACUGGCACUUCCGACAACAGUGGAGGAGUUGGUGAGCAGAGCCAGGAUCCCUGGCUUAUGGUGGGGUGGUUGACAGUUGAACAGAAUGGGUCCUUCUUACACACAGCAGUCAAUGCAGGUUUGU
rnacentral:lncRNA from 1 species